AGUGAACGCUGGCGGUAGGCCUAACACAUGCAAGUCGAACGGCAGCACAGUAAGAGCUUGCUCUUACGGGUGGCGAGUGGCGGACGGGUGAGGAAUACAUCGGAAUCUACUUUUUCGUGGGGGAUAACGUAGGGAAACUUACGCUAAUACCGCAUACGACCUACGGGUGAAGGCAGGGGAUCUUCGGACCUUGCGCGAUUGAAUGAGCCGAUGUCGGAUUAGCUAGUUGGCGGGGUAAAGGCCCACCAAGGCGACGAUCCGUAGCUGGUCUGAGAGGAUGAUCAGCCACACUGGAACUGAGACACGGUCCAGACUCCUACGGGAGGCAGCAGUGGGGAAUAUUGGACAAUGGGCGCAAGCCUGAUCCAGCCAUACCGCGUGGGUGAAGAAGGCCUUCGGGUUGUAAAGCCCUUUUGUUGGGAAAGAAAAGCAGCAGGUUAAUACCCCACUGUUCUGGCGGUACCCAAAGAAUAAGCACCGGCUAACUUCGUG
rnacentral:rRNA from 1 species